rnacentral:piRNA from 2 species
UACUAUUUCACAUUGAAUUUGAUUAUGCCC